rnacentral:tRNA from 1 species
CGAAAUAUAGCCUAAGUAAAGCAUCUCGCUUACACCGAGAAAAUAUCUGUUAAAUUCAGAUUAUUUUGA